UACGUAGGGGGCUAGCGUUGUCCGGAAUCAUUGGGCGUAAAGAGCGUGUAGGCGGCCCGGUAAGUCCGCUGUGAAAGUCGGGGGCUCAACCCUCGAAAGCCGGUGGAUACUGUCGGGCUAGAGUGCGGAAGAGGCGAGUGGAAUUCCUGGUGUAGCGGUGAAAUGCGCAGAUAUCAGGAGGAACACCGGUGGCGAAGGCGGCUAUCUGGACAGAGUCUGACGCUGAGGCGCGAAAGCUAGGGGAGCAAACAGG
rnacentral:rRNA from 1 species